UACGUAGGGUGCGAGCGUUAAUCGGAAUUACUGGGCGUAAAGCGUGCGCAGGCGGUUCGUUGUGUCGGCGGUGAAAGCGCCUGGCUUAACCGGGCGAGGUCGGCGGAAACUGUCCGACUAGAGGACGGUAGAGGGGGGUGGAAUUCCCGGUGUAGUGGUGAAAUGCGUAGAGAUCGGGAGGAACACCUGUGGCGAAGGCGGCCCCCUGGGCCGGCCCUGACACUGAGACGCGAAGGCGUGGGGAGCGAACGGG
rnacentral:rRNA from 1 species